CACUGUUCCUGUAAAGCUGGGGGACAGAUCUUCCAGACCCCUGCUGCCCCCUCUCUGUUGUACUGUCCCAGAGCCAGCUCCAUGUAGAAGAGAGGCAUGCCUGCUAUCACCAUGAAGAACAGGGUUGGGAAAAAACAAUCUCAAACAAGAACCAGCGAGCACAAGGAGCUGAAACACACCCACGAUAUCACAUACACAUCUGCAUUCAUGUGCAAAUACAUA